GCGUAAUUGGUUUAGUGGUAAAAUUCUCCGUUGCCAUCCGCAAUAUCGGGGAGCCCUGGGUUCGAUUCCCAGAUUACGCA